AUUGCGUUUGCGCCGGUCCACCCCGCAGAGCGUCCGGGUGGGAGCGCAGGAAACUGGAGCCUCGGGGCCUGGGUUCCGGCCUGGUGCCUACGCGUCACGCCCGGUAGCCCCUUCGGCGGUCGAGGGGUCUCGGUCCAAUAUGGGGUCUUUCCAGACAUGAGAGAGGCAGGGCGAGGAGUUUUCUCUGCGGAAUACCACUCUGAGAAAGCCUGAGUUCACAUGACAAGUUCCAUCCCGAGGGCCACACAGCAGGAAAACAGUACAACAGAAUUUGAGCGCAGCCUGUGUGAUUCCAGAGGCCCCAGUGAAUGGACAACAUCGUAAGCGAUCUCAAGUUAAAAUGAAAAAAGUUCAACUGGAUUCAUACUGAAGAGAAGAAGAGAGAAGAGGAAGGAGGCAAAAAUGCUAUGUGUCAUUGGUGACGACUGACUCCCAAGCUGCAUGUCUCACUGUUCAACUGGCCAGACACCAGGAUUAUUAUUCAGCAGCACACACCCUCUGGAAAACUUCCAGUUUCAGCCUACAACAAGCCAGAAUCCCAGCAGCAAGGACGGAGGGAGUCACAUUACACUGUGGAAAUAAGAAGGGAAUCCAAAGCCAUUCCCCACCACCAGGAACUGGAGGAGAGUCGGAAGAGUUAACUAUCACUUCAAACACUUCUAAAUAGACUUUGACCAUAAUCCCAAGAAAAUCCUGUCCAUCUCCGGAUUAUCUCAUAGGUUUGUGGAAUAGUGAGAACACAAACUCUGGGUUCAGGCUGAAUUCUUUGCUACUUAAUUCAUAACUGGGGAUAGAUGCCCCGAGAGUUUUCCAGCCCAGGAGGAAACCCAUGAAGAUAUACAUCAAAGCUGGACUUUCGGUGUGCCAGGAAGGAUGCUACCUGUGAGAAAUGUAGUCUAUCAUAGUUCUUCCAAGAACUAUUAGAGAAUACUCUCAGUUUGGUUUUAAAAUGUUUGUUCUGGGUCAGCAAGAUGGCAGAAUAGGAGGUCCCCUGUUAUAUCCUACCCAAGCAAUAAUAAUUUUAGCAGCCGUUCAUGGACAGAACUUCCUGUGUGGAAGCUUUGGGUUCCAGGUAGGAGGUUGUGAAACCGCAGUGGAGCCAUCAAGGAGGCUGUAUUAAGAAAGCAAACCUGAGAGUGGGGGUUCUAGCUCAGUGGAAGAGCACGGGCUUGGCAUGCAGGAGGUCCUUGGUUUGGUUCCCAGAGUCCCUGUUAAGGGGAAAAAAAUUUUAAAAAAGAAAAGAAAAGUGAAAAAAAAAAGUAUAUGAUCCUUAAGAAAAAAAAAAAAAGGCAAACCAAAGAAGACAGACUUGCAUUCAUACGAGCGAAAGCACAGAUCUGCCAACUCUAAUUUUUCUUCCCAGCCUGUUAUUUCCCCUGUUGUUUCCUGACAAGGAAGGCUCACUGGCCACGGUCCUGGCUGCAGACCCGAAAACAGCCUCCUCCCCUAGGGGACCUGGCUACAGCUCAGUUUGGCCUUGGUCCUGUGAACAGUACCAUCAGCCAAGGGAUGUCGGAGAAGUCAUGCCCACCUGAGCCUUGGGUAAUAAGCCUGCCCAUCUUGGUUGGGUCUUUGGACCCCAAAGCAGCCUGUGACCUGGAUCUAGCCUCAGCCAUGGUCUGGGAGCAGUCCUGCCAGCCCAGGGACGUGGCAGGAGGCGUGCCCAUCAAAGUUAGGAGGCAGGCUCCCUGACUUUGAUUCAGCUGUGGAUCCUGAAGGGACCCUGAGACUUGGCUCCAGCCCCUCUCAGCUGUGGUUCAGGGCCAGUUCUGUCCACGCAGAGACCUGCCCAGUGACCCAGCAGGAGCCAUGAGCAUUUGUGUGCCUGGUAACAAGCCUGCUGUCUGCAGACCCAACUGAGAACUCAGCAGCAGCCAGGUGACUAGUUCUAACCUUGUUUGACUGAUCCCAGAGGUAAUCGCAUCAGCUCAGGGGCCUGACAAGAGAAAAUCGUUACAUAUCAGAAACAAUAUGUAAAGAUGAGGACGUGUUUGCUCCUUCAAAUGUACAGACACCAAUGUGAGGCCACAGAGAUCCCAAAGAAGCAGGCAAACACGACACCACCGAAGGAAACUUACUAAUCAAUAGAUUGAACAGACACAUACAAAAAACAUAGGGAAGAAGCUCCUUGACAUUGGUCUUGGCAAUGAUUUUUUAAAUUUAUCUUUUUAUUGAUGUAUAGUUGAUGUACAAUAUUAUAUAAGU